rnacentral:rRNA from 1 species
GACGAACGCUGGCGGCGUGCUUAACACAUGCAAGUCGAACGGAAAGGCCCUGCUUUUGUGGGGUGCUCGAGUGGCGAACGGGUGAGUAACACGUGAGUAACCUGCCCUUGACUUUGGGAUAACUUCAGGAAACUGGGGCUAUACCGGAUAGGAGCUCCUGCUGCAUGGUGGGGGUUGGAAAGUUUCGGCGGUUGGGGAUGGACUCGCGGCUUAUCAGCUUGUUGGUGGGGUAGUGGCUUACCAAGGCUUUGACGGGUAGCCGGCCUGAGAGGGUGACCGGCCACAUUGGGACUGAGAUACGGCCCAGACUCCUACGGGAGGCAGCAGUGGGGAAUAUUGCACAAUGGGCGGAAGCCUGAUGCAGCAACGCCGCGUGCGGGAUGACGGCCUUCGGGUUGUAAACCGCUUUCGCCUGUGACGAAGCGUGAGUGACGGUAAUGGGUAAAGAAGCACCGGCUAACUACGCG